UAUUUAUACAUUCUUUGCUGUAAUGUAGCUCGUCAUCUUUAAGUGGUGUUGAGUCAAAAUACUAGAGAAUAGAAUUGUCCCACAAAUUGUUUCUACUUCAAAUGGUCUCUAUACUAGCACAAUUUUUUGAGUUCAUGUAAGAAUUUUAUAGACGCAAUUAUGCUCAAAUAUGAGCACAGCUCAUGUACAGCACACUAUAAAGUUUCACAUUGUACCAUAAUCUGUUAACACCUUAAGCACAACACAAACUUAUUUUAGCUACUCUAUCUAUAGAAAAUGUUGGUGGAAAUAAUGAAGGCUAAUACAUCCAACCAAGCUGGCCAGAUGUAGUUUUCGAGUGACAAAAUAUGUGCGAUAACUUUGAAUAGACAAAUAUUGUCUGGAUGAAACUUUUGAGUAUUUACAGUGAAAUUAUGUCUCCAAGGAUGCUAGCAACAGCAAUGAAAUGAGAAACUUUCUUUUAGGAAGAGGCUGUAGUGAAUCUCAGCAGCUGUAAUCGAUCCAGCUUCUAAUUGACCAAAGACUUAAGGUCUGACUUUGCCACCUCUUACCUCUACAAAAACAAUGCAGCCUGGGGAAUCAGUUUGUGUGACCGGUGAAAGAUGUCUGGUGUAAGAUUAGAGUGUCAACUCAGGGGUGUGCAAAUUUCAUGUGGGAUCUGGCAUCAUAGAAGGGAUUUUGCUGGACAAAAUUCACUACUUUUGAGCUAUAAGUUAGUGAAACUGGAAUUUCAUGCAGGGGAUAGAUUUAUGGGAUAAUGUUCCCAGUGCCAUCAAUAUACCACAAAUUGAAGACGGUCCUUUAGGCAAGGAGAAUAGAGGUCCGGAAAGCCAUGCAAAUUUUUGCAGUUUCUUAAGAGUAUGAACUAGAAAAGCACAUUAAGGAUGUGAUGAUGCCAAAGAUAGGCAGUUGGCAUGCUUGCUACUGCUAAUUUGAAGCUUCAACCACUAGAAAAUGAGCUUAUAUCAAUUUCAGAGCAGAGUUUGACUGGUAUGCCAUACAGAAUGUUGUCUCCGAG
rnacentral:lncRNA from 1 species